CUACGGGGGGCAGCAGUGAGGAAUAUUGCACAAUGGGGGGAACCCUGAUGCAGUAACGCCGCGUGGAGGAUGACGCAUUUCGGUGUGUAAACUCCUUUUAUAUGUCAAGAAAAUGACGGUAGCAUAUGAAUAAGCACCGGCUAACUCCGUGCCAGCAGCCGCGGUAAUACGGAGGGUGCAAGCGCUACUCGGAAUCACUGGGCGUAAAGGACGCGUAGGCGGGUUGGAAAGUCAGGUGUGAAAUCCUACAGCUUAACUGUAGAACUGCACUUGAAACUUCUAAUCUAGAGUAUGGGAGGGGGAGAUGGAAUUAGUGGUGUAGGGGUAAUAUCCGUAGAUAUCACUAGGAAUACCUAAAGCGAAGGCGAUCUCCUGGAACAUUACUGACGCUAAGGCGUGAAAGCGUGGGGAGCAAACAGGAUUAGAUACCCUAGUAGUC
rnacentral:rRNA from 1 species